GCCUUUGAGUUAUCCUACCUGAGUGACAAGAUUCCACCAACUUCCAGCUGUCAUUGGCUGAGGCUGCUCUCAGGAGUUAAUUCUCAGGCACUCUGGCCUGCCACUUGAGCAGGCAGAGUUUAUACCACAGCUGGAGGAAGCCCUUGGCCUCAGAGUUGCAGUUGCUGGCAUUUGGCAGUAGGAACUUGGAGGCUGGGCCUGCAGGGACAUGUUAGGGAGAUAUGGGAGGGGAACCAGUGGCACGUUCUGUGAGUACCUUUAGAAUUCAAGUCAGGUAUCACCUACUUUGGGAAGCACUCCAUGGCCCCUCAUUUGUUUCUCCCCUCGUGAGUUGAGUGUCUCUCAGCUUUGCUCCCACCCACCCACACGUCACUGUAUUUAACUGUCUGCAUCUCUCCUGCUAAACUCUGAGCCCACUGGAGACAUGGACCCGGUCUUCCAUCACCGUAGCUCUAUGGUACCUAGAAGAAGAAAUGACCCAGAGAGAAUCUGGCACAUGUCAUCCAUCUCCCGUAGCUGCUGAGUGACAUGGAAUAUACAUAAAGCAUCAUCAAAAAGAACAGGAGAAGAGGAAAAGGGAAAAACAGCACCCAGCAAACUUGGAGCCUCAUGCUUUUAAAAGCUUAUUUGAAACCCGUUCAUCCUUCUAGCCAGCCAGCCAUCCAACCAAUAAGAGCACACUUGUUGAAGUAUUUAAUUUGUCCAAGUACCUAGGAGAGGUCCUGUGGGGAUGCAGCCAUGAAUCUGGUAUAACACUAUUGUGGAGGGUGAGUAUCAACUUCCUGGCUCUUGACUAUUUGCUUUAUUUUUGAGGGCACUUCUCGCAUCUUCACUGAAGAUUGUAUACUUUAUUUAGUUCAAUUGUUUUAUUUGUAAUCUGUUUUUGUUUGUUUGUUUGUUCUUUUGAGGGAUGGAAAGAUCAUGUGUUUGGGCUGAAAAGGACCAGAUUAUAAUAGAGU